UUUUUUCUUCUUAAAAUUGUCAUUAUGUACACAGGUUCCUGCUUAUAAGCUUUAGGUAGCUUCCUAAGGAGACCUGAUUUAUACACGAUCCUGGCUAAGCCAUAUGAAAAGGUGUAGAACAUGUGAAUAUGGAUGUGUGUAUGAAUAAAUAAAUGAAAUGAAAUGAACUUGUGAAUGUGGCU